rnacentral:rRNA from 1 species
AAUGGACGCAAGUCUGACGGGGCGACGCCGCGUGAAGAAGAAGGCCUUCGGGUUGUAAAGUUCUGUCGAAUGGGAAGAAGGCUCGGAGUUAAUACUGCGUAGUUGACGUUACCAUUGGAGGAAGCCCUGGCUAACUCCGUGCCAGCAGCCGCGGUAAUACGGAGAGGGCAAGCGUUGUUCGGAAUCACUGGGCAUAAAGCGCACGCAGGCGGAUUGGAAAGUCGGUUGUGAAAGCCCGGGGCUCAACUCCGGAACUGCUUCCGAAACUACCCAGUCUGAGGAUGAGAGGGGAGAGUGGAACUUCUGGUGGAGCGGUGAAAUGCGUAGAGAUCAGAAGGAACACCGGUGGCGAAAGCGACUCUCUGGCUCAUUUCUGACGCUAAGGUGCGAAAGCUAGGGGAGCGAACGGGAUU